ACGUAGGGUGCGAGCGUUAAUCGGAAUUACUGGGCGUAAAGCGUGCGCAGGCGGUUCGUUAAGUUCGAUGUGAAAGCCCCGGGCUCAACCUGGGAACUGCAUUGGAAACUGGCGAGCUUGAGUGUGGCAGAGGGGGGUGGAAUUCCGCGUGUAGCAGUGAAAUGCGUAGAGAUGCGGAGGAACACCGAUGGCGAAGGCAGCCCCCUGGGCCAACACUGACGCUCAGGCACGAAAGCGUGGGGAGCAAACAG
rnacentral:rRNA from 1 species